GCUGGGUGUUGUGGUGUGCACCUGUAAUCCCAGCUACUCAGGAGGCUGAGGCAGGAGAAUCACCUGAACCCGGGAGGUGGAGGUUGCAGUGAGCUGAGAUUGCACCACUGCACUCCAGCCCGGGUGACAGUGUGAGACUCCGUCUCAU
rnacentral:SRP_RNA from 1 species